rnacentral:rRNA from 1 species
UACGAAGGGGGCUAGCGUUGCUCGGAAUACUGGGCGUAAAGGCGCGUAGGCGGACAGUUUAGUCAGAGGUGAAAGCCCAGGGCUCAACCUUGGAAUUGCCUUUGAUACUGAAAGUCUUGAGUAUGGGAGAGGUGAGUGGAACUGCGAGUGUAGAGGUGAAAUUCGUAGAUAUUCGCAAGAACACCAGUGGCGAAGGCGGCCAACUGUCCGAGUACUGACGCUGAGG